UGAACCAGCCAUGCCGCGUGCAGGAUGACGGCCCUAUGGGUUGUAAACUGCUUUUGUACAGGAAGAAACACUGGUUCGUGAACCAGCUUGACGGUACUGUAAGAAUAAGGAUCGGCUAACUCCGUGCCAGCAGCCGCGGUAAUACGGAGGAUCCAAGCGUUAUCCGGAUUUAUUGGGUUUAAAGGGUGCGUAGGCGGACCCGUUAGUCAGUGGUGAAAGUUUGCAGCUCAACUGUAAAAUUGCCAUUGAAACUGCGGGUCUUGAGUGUAAAUGAGGUAGGCGGAAUGUGUUGUGUAGCGGUGAAAUGCUUAGAUAUAACACAGAACACCAAUUGCGAAGGCAGCUUACUGGGAUACAACUGACGCUGAGGCACGAAAGCGUGGGGAUCAAACAGGAUUAGAUACCCUGGUAGUCCACGCAGUAAACGAUGAUUACUAGCUGUUUGCGAUACACAGUAAGCGGCACAGCGAAAGCGUUAAGUAAUCCACCUGGGGAGUACGCCGGCAACGGUGAAACUCAAAGGAAUUGACGGGGGCCCGCACAAGCGGAGGAGCAUGUGGUUUAAUUCGAUGAUACGCGAGGAACCUUACCUGGGCUUGAAAGUUAGCGACCGGUCCUGAAAGGGAUCUUCCAGCAAUGGCGCGAAACUAGGUGCUGCAUGGCUGUCGUCAGCUCGUGCCGUGAGGUGUUGGGUUAAGUCCCGCAACGAGCGCAACCCCUAUUGUUAGUUACCAGCGAGUAAUGUCGGGAACUCUAACGAAACUGCCCGUGCAAACGGUGAGGAAGGUGGGGACGACGUCAAGUCAUCACGGCCCUUACGUCCAGGGCUACACACGUGCUACAAUGGUCGGUACAACGGGCAGCUACACAGCGAUGUGAUGCUAAUCUCUAAAAACCUAUCUCAGUUCGGAUUGGAGUCUGCAACUCGACUCCAUGAAGCUGGAUUCGCUAGUAAUCGCGCAUCAGCAAUGGCGCGGUGAAUACGUUCCCGGGCCUUGUACACACCGCCCGUCAAACAAUGGAAGUUGAGGGUAUCUAAAGUCAGUAGCUGCAAGGCGCUGCCUAGGGUAAACUUGAUAACUGGUGUUAAGUCGUAACAAGGUAGCCGUACCGGAAGGUGCGGCUG
rnacentral:rRNA from 1 species